rnacentral:rRNA from 1 species
CUUUCUUUGCUGGCGACCGGCGCACGGGUGAGUAACACGUAUCCAACCUGCCCUUUACUCGGGGAUAGCCUUUCGAAAGAAAGAUUAAUACCCGAUAGCAUAAUGAUUCCGCAUGGUUUCGUUAUUAAAGGAUUCCGGUAAAGGAUGGGGAUGCGUUCCAUUAGGUUGUUGGUGAGGUAACGGCUCACCAAGCCUUCGAUGGAUAGGGGUUCUGAGAGGAAGGUCCCCCACAUUGGAACUGAGACACGGUCCAA